CAAUGGGGGUUUUAAGUUUUAUUUGAGCAAGAAGAACAAGGAAGCAAUUUGCCUACUGCCUGGAGCAAGUGAGGUAAUGUUGACAGAUAUCAGACAGAAAGCAGAUCAUCCCCAGUUCAGUAUUUUCUGUAGAGAAGGCUGUUCAGAGAGAGAAAGUCAAAUGAAAGAAGAACAUCUUGAAUUUAUACAAUGACUGGGAGAAGGCUUAAUGUGUUCUUAGAAUUGUAACUCCUAUUUGGAGAGAUUGCAAAAAGGAGCACCAGGGACAGAACCCUUGGAAGGGCCACAGGGGAUGGCAAAUGGCUCUCUCAGUUAGCUGGCUGAGCAUGUGAGCAGUCCGUACGACCAAGAUCAUUGUUGUCUCCAGCAGUGGAGAGCACCAGGUAUCUGAAAUCCCCAGGGCAAUUUCUGUUCAUGGAUAAGCCGGAUAAGCCUGGACUUCCCAAGUGAUGUCACAGUGAGACUUGAGCUUCGAUAACCAAGAACUUCAAGACCAAACCAUCAUUUCAAGAGAUUAUCGAGAAAAUGAAUGUGAGAAGAGCUUG
rnacentral:lncRNA from 1 species